rnacentral:lncRNA from 11 species
CUUUCCUCUAUAUCUUGCAGGAUGUCUCCCCCCAUCUUCUUGCAACCUAAAGAUAGAGAAGGAGAGACACAGAUUCCCUGUCUGGCAUAACAGAGGAAUAGUGUGCUUGGCAGGACUACCAUCAGUCAGUAGGGAAGAAGCAGAAAUUCGACUUGAGGGGAUUCUUUGGCAGCUUGCUGACAGGAAUAUAACUUAAGGAAGAAUGUCAAACCAAAUGACAAGGCAUACAAUGAAUUUCAAUGAUGAUGCAAAUGCGUAUCCCUCCUAGCCUUUCUCAACUGAUUUCAUUGAUAAGCGCUUCAGCAUGGUAGUGUUACUGAAAUACCAAAAGAACACCUGACAAUUAAAACCAGUCUUCUUCCUUCCUGCUUGUCUUAU